rnacentral:rRNA from 1 species
CGGUGUUUAACUGGCGUGAUGUGGGACGUCCUACCGGUGGGCUUAGCCUCGCGAGGGGCGGCCCAACUAAUAUCCCGUCGCGGUGCUCUUUACUGAGUGUCGAGUCGGGCCGGUACGUUUACUUUGAACAAAUUAGAGUGCUUAAAGCAGGCUAUCCUCGCCUGAAUACUGCGUGCAUGGAAUAAUGGAAUAGGACCUCGGUUCUAUUUUGUUGGUUUUCGGAACCCCGAGGUAAUGAUUAAUAGGGACAGAUGGGGGCAUUCGUAUUGCGACGUUAGAGGUGAAAUUCUUGGAUCGUCGCAAGACGGACAGAAGCGAAAGCAUUUGCCAAAAAUGUUUUCAUUAAUCAAGAACGAAAGUUAGAGGUUCGAAGGCGAUCAGAUACCGCCCUAGUUCUAACCAUAAACGAUGCCAGCUAGCGAUCCGCCGAAGUUCCUCCGAUGACUCGGCGGGCAGCUUCCGGGAAACCAAAGCUUUUGGGUUCCGGGGGAAGUAUGGUUGCAAAGCUGAAACUUAAAGGAAUUGACGGAAGGGCACCACCAGGAGUGGAGCCUGCGGCUUAAUUUGACUCAACACGGGAAACCUCACCAGGCCCAGACACCGGAAGGAUUGACAGAUUGAUAGCUCUUUCUUGAUUCGGUGGGUGGUGGUGCAUGGGCCGUUCUUAGUUGGUGGAGCGAUUUGUCUGGUUAAUUCCGAUAACGAACGAGACUCUAGCCUGCUAAAUAGGCGUACCUUAUGGUAUCGCGAAGGCCCCCGGCUUCGGCCGGUGGGUUUUUACUACCAACGUACAAACAAAUCUUCUAGAGGGACAGGCGG